AGUGAACGCUGGCGGUAGGCCUAACACAUGCAAGUCGAACGGCAGCACAGUAAGAGCUUGCUCUUACGGGUGGCGAGUGGCGGACGGGUGAGGAAUACAUCGGAAUCUACUUUUUCGUGGGGGAUAACGUAGGGAAACUUACGCUAAUACCGCAUACGACCUACGGGUGAAAGCAGGGGAUCUUCGGACCUUGCGCGAUUGAAUGAGCCGAUGUCGGAUUAGCUAGUUGGCGGGGUAAAGGCCCACCAAGGCGACGAUCCGUAGCUGGUCUGAGAGGAUGAUCAGCCACACUGGAACUGAGACACGGUCCAGACUCCUACGGGAGGCAGCAGUGGGGAAUAUUGGACAAUGGGCGCAAGCCUGAUCCAGCCAUACCGCGUGGGUGAAGAAGGCCUACGGGUUGUAAAGCCCUUUUGUUGGGAAAGAAAAGCAGCAGGUUAAUACCCCGCUGUUCUGACGGUACCCAAAGAAUAAGCACCGGCUAACUUCGU
rnacentral:rRNA from 1 species